ACACAACUUUCUUAACAGCUAGCCCUCCUCCAAACUUCAACAAAAACCAUUAAUACCCCCAAAUGCACAAGCACAACAAAACAAACCAUUUUACCCCCCUAGUAUG
rnacentral:rRNA from 1 species